AUUGAACGCUGGCGGCAUGCCUUACACAUGCAAGUCGAACGGCAGCACGGGUGCUUGCACCUGGUGGCGAGUGGCGAACGGGUGAGUAAUACAUCGGAAUGUACCUUGUAGUGGGGGAUAGCUCGGCGAAAGCCGGAUUAAUACCGCAUACGCUCUGAGGAGGAAAGCGGGGGACCUUCGGGCCUCGCGCUACAAGAGCAGCCGAUGUCAGAUUAGCUAGUUGGUGGGGUAAAAGCUCACCAAGGCGACGAUCUGUAGCUGGUCUGAGAGGACGACCAGCCACACUGGGACUGAGACACGGCCCAGACUCCUACGGGAGGCAGCAGUGGGGAAUUUUGGACAAUGGGCGAAAGCCUGAUCCAGCAAUGCCGCGUGUGUGAAGAAGGCCUUCGGGUUGUAAAGCACUUUUGUCCGGAAAGAAAUCCUUUGGGUUAAUACCUCGGGGGGAUGACGGUACCGGAAGAAUAAGCACCGGCUAACUACGUGCCAGCAGCCGCGGUAAUACGUAGGGUGCAAGCGUUAAUCGGAAUUACUGGGCGUAAAGCGUGCGCAGGCGGUUUUGUAAGACGGAUGUGAAAUCCCCGGGCUUAACCUGGGAACUGCAUUCGUGACUGCAAGGCUAGAGUAUGGCAGAGGGGGGUAGAAUUCCACGUGUAGCAGUGAAAUGCGUAGAGAUGUGGAGGAAUACCGAUGGCGAAGGCAGCCCCCUGGGCCAAUACUGACGCUCAUGCACGAAAGCGUGGGGAGCAAACAGG
rnacentral:rRNA from 1 species